rnacentral:rRNA from 1 species
CCUACGGGCGGCAGCAGUGAGGAAUAUUGGUCAAUGGACGAGAGUCUGAACCAGCCAAGUAGCGUGAAGGAUGACUGCCCUAUGGGUUGUAAACUUCUUUUAUAUGGGAAUAAAAUGUUCCACGUGUGGGAUUUUGUAUGUACCAUAUGAAUAAGGAUCGGCUAACUCCGUGCCAGCAGCCGCGGUAAUACGGAGGAUCCGAGCGUUAUCCGGAUUUAUUGGGUUUAAGGGGAGCGUAGGUGGAUUGUUAAGUCAGUUGUGAAAGUUUGCGGCUCAACCGUAAAAUUGCAGUUGAAACUGGCAGUCUUGAGUACAGUAGAGGUGGGCGGAAUUCGUGGUGUAGCGGUGAAAUGCUUAGAUAUCACGAAGAACUCCGAUUGCGAAGGCAGUUCACUGGACUGCAACUGACACUGAGGCUCGAAAGUGUGGGUAUCAAACAGGUUUAGAUACCCCGGUAGUC